AAAUCAUCAUGCCCCUUAUGACCUGGGCUACACACGUGCUACAAUGGUUGGUACAACGGGAUGCUACUUCGCGAGAAGAUGCUAAUCUCUUAAAACCAAUCUCAGUUCGGAUUGUAGGCUGCAACUCGCCUACAUGAAGUCGGAAUCGCUAGUAAUCGCGGAUCAGCAUGCCGCGGUGAAUACGUUCCCGGGCCUUGUACACACCGCCCGUCACACCACGGGAGUUUGCAACACCCGAAGUCGGUGAGGUAACCGUAAGGAGCCAGCCGCCGAAGGUGGGGUAGAUAACUGGGGUGAAGUCGUAACAAGGUAUCCGUACCGGAAGGUGCGGAUGGAUCACCUCCUUUCUAUGGAGA
rnacentral:rRNA from 1 species